UUGCAGAUGGUCUCGUGCACAUGUUUUCCUCCCAUUGGCUGGAGAUCCAGAGCUGCUACUGAUACACCACACACAGCUCUGCAUAAAAGGCAGCUUCUCCUUCACUGUCUUCUACUUCUGCAGAACCCGGAGGAGAGCAAGAAACAACCAGAAGAAAUCAGAGGAGAAGAUGAGCGAUGUUAUUUGUGCAGUUGUGCAAUGAGCACGGGCAGAAACCUGCAGAGCUGCAAUUACAGGAACCAUAAAUACUUUUAUCAGGGAUUCCUUGUACAGGAGCAAGAAGUCCUGUUUGUUGAUCUUAUUUGACCUAAAAGGCAUGCAAAGGUGGUAUUUUUAUUUUAUUUUAUUUUUUAAGUUAGAGAUACACCAGAGUCCCCAGAGGAAACCCACACAGACACGGAGAACAUGGAAACUCCACCCAGAUAGGGACUUGAACCCAGGACCCCAGUGCUGAGAGGCGAAUGUGCUUACCACUAAGCCACUGUGCACUGUUCUAAUGUCGGAUCAGAACGCUCCGGGUGGUAGAUCCUCAAGACCAUGAAUGAGAAAUUGAAUAUGUGUUUAACUUCAUGUGUAACUUUAAUUUCCAAGUAAGAAUAUCAUCUAAGUAAACAAAGCCAUGACUCAAAUUAGCCCUACUGAUGAGAUCUAAACUAAACAUCAAUCUCAUUAUUUUCCAUGUUCUUUAUCCUUGCGAUCAAUCACCUUGCUCAGUGCCAAACUGAAUGUCAUGAGACAGAGAUUGCUCAUGCAUUAAGAUGUUCUUCUUGCCUCUCCAUCUUUGUACGUCUGUAGAAAUCAGGAUUCCUCAGACAGGCUAUGUCUGCUUUCAACUGUCCAGUUUUGGUGAGCCUGUGCCCACUGCAGCCUCAGCUUUCUGUUCUUGUCUGACAGAAGAAGAACCUGACAGAGCCUUCUGCCAGUCUUUCUCAAGACUUUGCUGCCGUUGGAGUGCUCAAACCUGGUGCUGGGGCUCUACCACUGUGCAAAGUUCAGUCUCAAAUCUAUCAUACCUGGUCCAGGUAAGGAAGGUCUUCAGAAGCAAGGAAUUUUAUUUGACAAUGUAUUUUUCAUUAGACAAUUCUGAGACUAUUGGGCUAAAAGUCCUAGGGGACCAGUAAU